CACCCCGCGGCCCUGAGGUGAAGUUAUUUAUAAACGCCUCCCUGGAUUAUUUGAGCAGAGCCCUUUCACACACCUCAGAACACCUUCUGGCUGCCCGCUGCCCAGACACACCUGCAGCCCUGCCCAGCCUGCUCUGCUCACCCACCGAUGUCCUCCGUCACUCCUUCAGCUCAGGCACUUGGUGCAGACCACAAGGAAUCCUGCUCGUCCCCAUUAACCCUGAGAAGCUGGAAGAGGUAGAGGAGA
rnacentral:lncRNA from 1 species